rnacentral:rRNA from 1 species
AUCGUAAACGAUGGCUAAUACCGCAUGAUGCCUACGGGCCAAAGAGGGGGACCUUCGGGCCUCUCGCGUCAGGAUAUGCCUAGGUGGGAUUAGCUAGUUGGUGAGGUAAGGGCUCACCAAGGCGACGAUCCCUAGCUGGUCUGAGAGGAUGAUCAGCCACACUGGAACUGAGACACGGUCCAGACUCCUACGGGAGGCAGCAGUGGGGAAUAUUGCACAAUGGGCGCAAGCCUGAUGCAGCCAUGCCGCGUGUGUGAAGAAGGCCUUCGGGUUGUAAAGCACUUUCAGUCGUGAGGAAGGUGGUGGAGUUAAUAGCUGAAUUAUUUGACGUUAGCGACAGAAGAAGCACCGGCUAACUCCGUGCCAGCAGCCGCGGUAAUACGGAGGGUGCGAGCGUUAAUCGGAAUUACUGGGCGUAAAGCGCAUGCAGGUGGUUUGUUAAGUCAGAUGU